rnacentral:rRNA from 1 species
UACGAAGGGUGCAAGCGUUACUCGGAAUUACUGGGCGUAAAGCGUGCGUAGGUGGUUUUUUAAGUCCGUUGUGAAAGCCCUGGGCUCAACCUGGGAAUGGCAGUGGAUACUGGAAAGCUAGAGUGCGGUAGAGGGUAGUGGAAUUCCGCGUGUAGCAGUGAAAUGCGUAGAUAUGCGGAGGAACACCGAUGGCGAAGGCAAUCCCCUGGGCCUGCACUGACGCUCAUGCACGAAAGCGUGGGUAGCAAACAGG